GACGAACGCUGGCGGCGUGCCUAAUACAUGCAAUCCAACCCUUCUUUCCUCCCCAGUGCUUGCACCCCAAUGGGAAGAGGAGUGGCGGGCGGGUGAGUAACCCGUGGGUAACCUACCCAUCAGAGGGGGAUAACACUUGGAAAAAGGGGCUUAUACCGCAUAACCGUUUAUUCCCCCUGGCAUAAAAGUUAAAGGCGCUUUCGGGUGUCGCUGAUGGAUGGACCCGCGGUGCAUUAGCUAGUUGGUGAGGUAACGGCUCACCAAGGCCACGAUGCAUAGCCGACCUGAGAGGGUGAUCGGCCACACUGGGACUGAGACACGGCCCAGACUCCUACGGGAGGCAGCAGUAGGGAAUCUUCGGCAAUGGACGAAAGUCUGACCGAGCAACGCCGCGUGAGUGAAGAAGGUUUUCGGAUCGUAAAACUCUGUUGUUAGAGAAGAACAAGGACGUUAGUAACUGAACGUCCCCUGACGGUAUCUAACCAGAAAGCCACGGCUAACUACGUG
rnacentral:rRNA from 1 species